GCACGUUCACUCAUACAUGCUACUUCUACUCCGGAAGUACCAUCCACAUAUAUCCACUCAUUUCCAUCUCCAGAUUCACCCAAAAUUAUUCUACUCCUAAUCUGGGAGAGAAUAGCCAAAAACAUUAUCCUAUCCCUAUUAUUCCCUGUGAAAUAAAUGCUCGAGUUAUCUUGGUUACUACCACUUGCUAUAUUAUUUAAGGAGAUGAGUGCUCUAAAAAAAAUAUAUACGAGGAAAUAAAAAGGGGCAAGUGCCCGGAACCUCGAAGAAAAGAAAAAGUGAGACGAGAGGUAAAAAUGGACAAGUGUCCGACAGUAGAAUUAGGGGUACAAGAUACCCACCUGAGAGGAAAGAAAAAGAAAAUAUAGAGCAUCUCAUUCUCCCCAAAAAGCUUCAAAGUGCAAGAAAGGUAUGUAUCCCCUCAAAAGAGCAAAAGUAGAAUUAGACUUUGACCAUUGUUAUCACCAUCAUCACCAUACACCAUUCAUUCGCCACACAUGCACAUCUUGAUUUGACUUAUUGACUUGUUUCUCUGGAUCCAUGGUUUGACUAUGCAAUAAAUGUCUUGUAAGUAUGUAUUAGCUAUCUCCCACCUAUGAGCUCCAGAUAUCAAAACCUUAUUAGAGUAGGGUGAGAGAGAAGGUAAUAUCACUAUGCAUUAUACCAAAAAUACCACAUACUUUGAGAGAAGGCAUAUACCAUUACUGCCUUGGUAAGGAUCUAGAAAUACCA
rnacentral:lncRNA from 1 species